GAUACACAUCUUUCCUUUGGAAACAAAGCUUCAGCUUCUUACCCAAUCAUUCAAAUCGUCCUGGAUCAAGCAACGAGUAGGUCGAACUAAUUAAUUUAUAAAAGAAAGAAACAAAAAAAAAGAAGGUUUACCACCAAACCCACACUUAUUCAAGAUAUCAAUGCACAUGUGUUGUAUACCAAUUUUGUAUACCUACUUUACUACUACUCUACAUUAUCAACGGAGCUUCGAAAAAAAAAGUCAUUCCACUGAUUCUUCGUGGCGCCACUGAGCGAGUUUAACCCGAAAUAUUUCCUCUGACCUUAGAAGCAUAUUUCGCCGCCGGAAUAAUCGAGCCCCUAGAAAGCUCGUGGGUGUAUCGCAAUAUUUCGCCCCCAUGCAAGGCGUCACGGUAAAGCGCAAACUCGAGUAACCUGGAGCCGUUAUAUAUAUCGGGAGGCUCGACAUGUUUUCAAACAGUUGUCAGCCGCGUGAGCGCAGUUGGUGGUUGGUGGUUCUGGCAUCCAGGCGGGGUGCGCUUGGUCUGUCACCAUUGUCGUACUAGGAUAUAAUGUAUCGCGAAUGAUGGACGGAAAUGAGACCGGUCUCGAGUGCCACCAUUCUCUACAGUUAGAGUGCUACGAUGUCACAGAGUGCGAACAUUUCGAUAUACCAUUAACCCAUACCGACUCCUGCAUUAUUUGAUACUUGAGUUUUCCUUGAGUCGCAUUACAUUCGGACAACCCGCUGCGAUAAAAAUGGCUUGUCUUCUACCAAGCAGCAAGAUUUUUCGUCUCAAUGUCAUACCGGUACUUCAACGACAUUCGCGGGAGACAUGAAUUUCGAGUGUACAAGGAAUAACUUUGAGUGCGCAUUGGACGAUAGUUGUAAAAGCGUAUCCUGCAAUUUUAUUAGUAAACAAAAAGUAAUUAUUCUCAAACAAGCUUAAUGAUAUUAGGAUCAGCUUACUCAUUAAGUGAAGUGCACUUGUUCGCGAUAUAUAAGCUGUGUAAGCUAUAUCGAGGCACUAGUAGACUGUGCCUCGUACUAAAUAAUCGAAUUAUCUCUUGGUAAUAGUCUUAAGUGCGUUAUAGUGAGCGAGCGACGGGGAAAGUGAAAUAUUUUUGCUUGCAUGUCGUAUCUAUAGUCAGGGGAGUGGUACUUACAUGUUCUUGGGAUAUCGAAUUGUACGUAAUUCCCGAUGCUUCUGUACGAUAAUACGUGAUUAGUGUUUCGAUCGAGGGUUAUAUGGAAAUUUGAAAUUUUAGAGAAUUUGGCUCUUCCCGCACUUUUCGAAAUACACACGUAAAACAUAUCUUACGUUACAGCGCGUUGAAGUUCUGACGAUUGAGAUGGCUCAAUAAAACGCAAUGUAUAAAGGAAGUUGAAAACUAAAAAGGUGACAAGAAAUCUUGAAAUGGGUCGGAAAUAUAAACAGCGUCUGAUACCCGAGCAGGAUCGUAGAAUAUGCGGUAGUAUCUGUCUGUGCCAGUUUACCAUUGUGAUUAGUUGUGUGGCCUUGGUCUAUCUUAGCGUGGCGAUCUACAUGCCAUCUCACAGAGCAUUUCACGCAGGAAUCGAUCCGGACCCAGUUAUGUGCCAAACGGUGAAUACAACCUUGGUGAAUUAUUGCGCUUGGGCAAGUUGCGGUGAAUGGUGUUUAACGAAGACCACAGGAUUCUGUCCUCAAAUUCAUGCAACAGUACGGCGCAAUGGUACAGACGUACAUUUUGAGAAUUGUACAAAAAUAACGAGUAUGUCGUGUCCACAGGUAAACACAGCUGGACUCAAACGGUAUAAUUGCAACAAUGGCAGUGAGUGCAGUGUACUUUCUGGUGUUUUUAACUGCAGUCUUGGACAUUGCGCAAAUAUGAGCGAACUCAUGCUGUGCCAUUACAAAGCCGACGGGAUAGUCGUCGAUAGCGAAAAAGACAACAUGAAGCUCAAUGGGUUCUUUAGCUGCGAGCAUUCUCGAUGCACCAAAAUCAAAAGACCGUUUUCCUGCGAUCGCUACUGUCCUAAGAUCCCGACGAGCGACUCCAACGUUUUUAUCAUGCAGGACGACAACGUGAUAACUGCUAAGUGUAACCGGGCGAUCGCACUGAACAUGGCAAACGGGUCUCUGCCAGGUACGAGGCUGAAGGACCCUGUGGAAAUUUGGAAUCAGCAGAAAGGAGCCAUCAUAGCGAGUUGUCUGGUUGUCAUAGGCGGAGGGGGCACUGUCAAAACGGAGGAUUGCGUUAAUGGCACGCUUUUAGAAGACAAAGCCGUAACCAAGCCGUUCAUCAACUUUACCACCUUCCUUAGCCUCUACGAAAAGAGUCUGGCACAUCCUGUGGAUCCCACGGAUGUCUACGUGCCGUCUCAGAAUUCUCUGACCAUUUACAACAGUUCGCGACUCUACAUAAACCUCGAGGGUUGCGUAAAUACACUCAGGGGUGAGUGUCGGGAUUUUUUAGUCAGCCAUGGAAGAGACGGAGAUAAUCAGACUGCUCAGAGUAGAUAUCCAUGUUACUACAAUAGGAACGAUUCUUUCUUCGUGGUCGCCCGAUUCGAUCUCAACAAAACCCGGACUGAGCUCCUGGUCGCCAUUAUAGUACCUACGUUACUGUUCGUCGUGAGUCUGACGACCCUGGUCAUCAUAACCCGAUCGGUCCGGGUCGGCGACGAUGCAAAAAUGCGAUGUAGAUAUUGCACCGAGAAUCAAGAGAACGAGGGCGAGGACGAAGGCCUCGUAGAAGGGACGGCCACGUCGCUGCAGGGUCAUUCCAAUGAGAAUGAGGUCAGAAGCUUGGCCCUUUAGCAGUUUAAGUUCAGCGUCCAGAGUAUGGUCGACUACGAGAGAUUGCCACUGAUAGACGUCGAGGAUGAAGAUUCAUUUUAAGGGAUUUUUAAAGAUGAAUCAGAGGAGUCGGAACGAAGUUUGGCGAAGUUUCCCUAUACCUGGGAUCAAGUUUUCCCCGGAAACGCCGGCCUUGUUACAUUCUUGGACGUGGGUGAAAAUUUGAACUUGUCUCUAUUGGAAAAUUGUAAGUUAGUAGACUAGAGCACAAAGGAUGCAAAUAUGAUAGAGGGAAGUAAUGUAGGAGGACUAUGGUGUUUAUGUUACUUUAGUAUGAAAGAUUAGGUUAUUGAAUUCCUUAGGUAUUUCAUUUUCAUUCAGGGCUUCGUAUACUCGCAAACUAUUUAUACUUAUUAGUUGACGCGCUGUGCGAAUCGAGAAAGUCAAUAUCUAGAUUGAUUAUGUGUAGCGACGGUUUAUCAGGGAUCAGCGAAUGAUAUGAAACUUUCAUCCUCAUUGUAUCCGUAGUUGUGGAGGAUAACGCCAAAUUCUAGUGUUUUCCUGACGAUUGCCUUGACUGGUCGUUAGGCAAGUAUGAAAACGACGCUUAUUGCAUUAAAUCUGUCAGAUCUGUCGAGUACAUCAUAUACGGGAUUGAUAAGGCCUUUUCUAAUGUAUUGAUCUUGUCGAAAGUUACCCCGGUGGGGCCAAUUGUAUUCAGUAUCUUUAUAAAGUUGCCUUCAAUGUACCGCGACCACUUUGUAUUUUGAUGAACAAACAAAUGAUAUAUAUAUAUACACACUGUCAUACCAAAAUUAUAAAUAAUUGUAAUGUAAUACCGAUUUUAAUCAAUACCCAUCGAAAGACAGUUGCGAUAUUUAACUAAUGAUUUUUUCGGGUUAGGUAAACCUGAUGGAUGUAUAUGAUGUUUUAUACACGAUUUUUUAAUUUUACCGAUUAUCGAGAAAACUAGUAAUAACAAAGCAAACGAAUCACUCUAUGUGCAUGACAUGUCAAUCUGCAUAUAAAUAUAUGUCGCACAAUUGUUGGCUAGUAGACAGACAGUAUUCAAUAUGUAAUUCAUCGAUGACUUCUGGGAGCUUUCGAUGUUUUAGCACAAAAGUAAAGCAUGGAGUGUCGCGGAGGAUCAUUUGACCUUUGAGAAAAAAUAUUUUAUUCUAAGCAACUUGCAGUAUAUUUUAGGCAGGAUAAAAAGAAAUAAAUAUUUAUCGAUGAUCUACCAAAAAUAUUUCUUUUACAGAAAUUCCUUAUCCGCGACACACACCCAGUGCCAUUGCUACUAACUGCCGUUACGUACAAAGUCAUACGUUAUCAUAAACUGUAUAAACUUUUACAAGUAUCGAUUUUUGACAUACUACAUCGGUGUGAUAUAAUAUUCGAAAACACAAAAAAAAUUAUAGGAUAGAAAAAAUGAUAAGAAAAUUCAAGGCUUUAAUUUUUGGUAUUGAGGGAAGUGGGAGGUUAAUCUUGCAAUCACAACGUGAAUUGAUGUGCAGUAUAGCGACACGAAUUCUAUGGAAUCUCUAUGCUAACUCUAAACUAUUAAGUCUUAAGAUCGAUCAUUGAACUAGCAUUUAAUCAAAUUAUCUAGUAACGUUAAAGUUCGUGUCAGUUCCUAGAAUCGAUACUAGUUGAAUGUAUUAGGCUUUAGAAGCGUGACUCUUUAAAAGUAGAUGUUACGAAGUAACCUUUUGAAAGUAUACAUACUACGUAUACAUAAAAUUUACAGUAUGUACGAAGAGAUCCACGCGAUCGUUAAUUAAGAUUUAAUUAAAAUGUCACGCAGUACGUGAAAAUCUAUAUCGACCUAUGGAAACGUUGGAUCUAAUGUUUUUACUGUACUUUACGUGAUUGCCUAACAAAUUGAAAUUUUCGCCUUAGGAAUUCGGACUAUAUACAUACAACUAUACUGUAAUCUAUGUGCCUUCUUCCGUUUAUGCUACUAUUGUCUAUAUCGCUAUACUUGUCCUACGGAUCAUGUUCAAUAUGCAUGUACGCAUGUGUAUUUCAAGAACGUGCAACGUUACGUACUCGUGAGGAUCGAUGAUGCAAGGUCCGUUAAUGAGAAAAAAUUCAAAUCGAUAAGACUUCGAAGACAGUAUGGAAUAUGAGGUGUAAGAAAGUGUAAACGAAGAAGGCUAUCUCGUGCAAAAGAUGCACGACCCUUUGUACGAGUAACGAGUGUAGAAUUCCAUGAAGUUGUUAACGGGAAAAGGUAUUAGCCUAGAUUACAGUAGCUCUUCGCUGAAAGUAUUGGGGGCAUAGAGGUGGUCGAUACCGUGUUGUAUGAGUCCUUCGGGCCAUGUGCACAGACGAAUCACGAAUCGAUGAGAAAUGAGAAUGUCUAGCAAGUCGAAUUCUGUUCUCAGUGGAUAAGGAAGCCAGUAAGUAGUUUUCUAUUCUUUGGACGACAAUCAAUGCUCCUCUGCGAAGUAACUACGAACUUACUUUGCAGUGGGAAUAGUCGGUAAAUACGUGUAUGCACCACGCAAAGUUGUUCAGUUCGUCGUCAUUGUUAUCGAUAACGGCACAACUUGAAUGUUCACUGUCCGGGGACAUACUAGAAGUUAUUGUAAGUAAAUAUUGUCUUACAAGUAAAUAUUUUAUUUGAGAUGUAUUUCUGGAUAUUGAUAUCAAUGUCCAAGAGCCUGAUUUACAGAAUAGCAAGCAGAUUACUAGACCAGUUUUAGAAAUUAAAUGUGUUGAUCCUAUUAGAUGUAGAUGGACUACCAUGUAUUCGAGUAAACAUGCUGUUGGCCCGGAUCGAAGGGAUGCUUCGAAGGUGACAGAUAUACCCGAACAUUUUUGAGAAGGUUACUUGAAUCUACAUAAAAGAUGUGCAUCUCUAUUUUCAAUGUCGGAGAUCAGUAGGGAGAUCCACAAUGUUGCAUUAGGCGAUACCGAAAUCAUGGCGCUAAAUCGUAGCGGCGAGUCUGCCAGUAGAAUUAUGUGAUUAUCGCCUCCGUCGACAAUGCGUAUCCAAGCCGAGCAAAACGUGAACACGAUCGUGGAGCUUGGCGGGCAGAGGUUCUCCGCUACUCAUCGCUGGUUCCCAAAGCAACUCUUAGAACGAGACCGGAAACUAUACAACUUCUUAAGAUCUACUGAAAAAGCCUAUUGUUGAAACAUUUUUUAGACACUUUUAAGAAAGUGCGGUAACAUCUUGACACCCGUGUAGCACCUUAAUUUUUACUAAAUAUUAUUGGAUCUUGAUUUACUUGAGAUUUUUCUCCCUAGUCCUCUACGCGACAGCCGCGGGACUCGGAGGUUUCCUAAAAAAAAAA